AGAGUUUGAUCAUGGCUCAGAUUGAACGCUGGCGGCAUGCCUUACACAUGCAAGUCGAACGGCAGCACGGGCUUCGGCCUGGUGGCGAGUGGCGAACGGGUGAGUAAUACAUCGGAACAUGUCCUGUAGUGGGGGAUAGCCCGGCGAAAGCCGGAUUAAUACCGCAUACGAUCUAAGGAUGAAAGCGGGGGACCUUCGGG
rnacentral:rRNA from 1 species